CAUCCAUUAAAGUAGUCUUUCCAGCUCCACUAACACCCAUCAGUGCUGUAAGAACACCGGGCCUGAAAGCUCCGCUCACCCCCUUCAGUAGCACCAGUCGAUCUUCCACAACUCCAUGGUUUUUCAUCUCCUUAGUCAGAGCAGCAGGAUGGUUUCUUCUCCUGUCAAAUGGGGUGCUGAGCUCGUCGCCUAGCUUGCUGCCAAUAUGGAACGACUGAAAAGCUUCAGCAAAUUCGUUCACAGAAAUAUAUCUAAAAUCUGCGACGCCUUUCCUUUCAGGACAUCUGAAGCCCAUCGAUUCAAAAAACUCGAGCACGUUUUCUCGGGGACCUUGGUAGACAAUUUGCCCAUCUGAGAGGAGUAUAAUGUCGUCGAAGAGUUCGUAGGUCUCUGGAGCAGGCUGAAGCAAAGCAAUCAGUGCCGUCCCUUCAAGGAUGUGAACAGAUUGUCUUAUGGAAUUGACAAUUUGGAAAGUCGUGGAGCUGUCAAGCCCCGUGGAGAUCUCAUCCAUGAAAAGAGCUUUAGCUGGUCCAACAAGCAUCUCACCUGCACGAAAUCCCAGCAGCGGUACACAGUUGGCUUAUUUUUCUGAAUAAUCGAGAGAAAGCCAAAGUUUCCCUCACAGUCAUCUCUCCGAUAUGAAGAUCGUGCUGACCAAUAUAUGCGGAGGUUCUCUCUGGCACGAACUCGUCCAUGUCGAAACCAUUCCACUCAAUUUGUCAAAGUGAAUGAUUACCUGCAAGUUUGAGUCAAGCUUUCCAGCCAAAGCUAACAGCAGUGUCGUCUUUCCGGAACCUGGGGGGCCUAGAAGUAAAGUCAUUCUGCGACAUACACAUCGAAAAACAGGAAUAAUUUCAGAUUGUGGUGUCAGAGAUUUCAUCUGCAAUCACUUUAUCUACACACAUCUUAUGAUUUGGUGAGAGCUCUUCAUCUCCUUACCUGCUAGGCUUGAUGAUUCCGCUGAUGUCGUUAAGAAUCGAUAUUGGUCUCUUUCCGCUCGGAAUUAUAUGAAGAUAACUCAGAAUUGCCUGCGACAAUAUAUCGUGUUAUGAUCUUAGAAGCAGAUUUAUGACGUCUAUUAUUUUUACGUUGCGAUGCGAUCCGAAGCAAUAUCUACCAUAAUCUUAUUGACGAAGAAGUUGAGAAACGUCGGAACUCCUCGAUUCCCCACAUAGGCUUCCGCAUCGACAUUCAAAUCCUCAAACCGCACUUCGAUCGUGGGGUUAUCGAUCCCAACACUAGAAGAGGAACAAGAAGAAAGUUAAGCCGACCAAUGAUUCGUUACUCAAAAUGACAGAAUUUGCCACAACAUGAAGGCGACCUCACUCACCGGUCCAUGCGGCUUCUGAGCUUCAGAAGGAACUUCUCGUUAUCCUCUUCGGCAGUUCGAACCAGGCGCUCCAACAAGUUCUUCCGAUCCUGCAUGUCGAGGCCGUGAACGUCGACUUCGUGCGACUCGCCCUCCGCCCCCGCGAGUAUGCCUUUUCUCAUGCGAUCGUAGGUCGGAAGCUUCUCGAGUGCGGCCCAUUUUAGAGCCUCUUCGUCGUCCUCCUCACGGCCCGACCGCCCGAAGAUCUGGCUGGCGGUGGACGAGCGGAAGGAGGAGCUGCUCAUGGUCCGCCGUAUACUCCCUCGCAAGCUCGCAAUCCUGUAAUUGCCCUCCAUUGAUCAUGAACUAAGCUCUCUAUACCGUUAUUCCGCUUUAUGCUCAAUUCAGCAAACUAAUUGCUUCUAAA